UCGAGGGGUAGAGUGCUUCGGCACUUGAGACCGGCGYACGGGUGCGUAACGCGUGUACAAUCUACCUUUUGCUAAGGGAUAGCCCGAAGAAAUUUGGAUUAAUACCUUAUAGUAUUAUUUAGUGGCAUCAUUAAAUAAUUAAAGCUACGGUGGCAAAAGAUGAGUACGCGUCCCAUUAGCUAGUUGGAGUGGUAACGGCACACCAAGGCUACGAUGGGUAGGGGUUCUGAGAGGGAUGUCCCCCACACUGGUACUGAGACACGGACCAGACUCCUACGGGAGGCAGCAGUGAGGAAUAUUGGACAAUGGUCGGAAGACUGAUCCAGCCAUGCCGCGUGCAGGAUGACGGCCUUAUGGGUUGUAAACUGCUUUUGUAYGGGAAGAAUAAGGUCUACGUGUAGAUUGAUGACGGUACCGUACGAAUAAGCAUCGGCUAACUCCGUGCCAGCAG
rnacentral:rRNA from 1 species